CCCAUUCCCUGGACCUCUGGGAUCACCUAAGCGCCAAAUUCGACCUAUCUACUGGCCUAUCGCCCCUCACCCCAAUCCUCCGCAAUAAAAUGUUCCCACCUGGCCUUACUCCCAGGCACUAUGCUCACUUCGAAGACAGAGACAUAGUUAGACUAGGACACCUUUACCCCAAUGGUAAACUCCUCCAAUACGCAGAGGUUCCUAAUCCGGAAUCCUUAAACACCCAUGACUACUAUCGAUACCUCCAACUCCGUAGUUUUGCAACAUCAGACACGGUUCGCUUGGCAGCCACCUCGGCCCUGACAAGAUUUGAAAGGGACACCCUCAACUCACCGGCCAGAAAGAGCCAAAUCUCAAGCCUUUACACAUCCCUAACCACACAUCACACCCAAAUAGCACUCCCAUACAUCGCAGCAUGGGAGAGUGACUUGGGACCCCCUGAAGACACCUCUGACUGGGCAGACAUCUGGAUAGCUACCAAAUCCAUCUCCACCUGUGUAACCC